GCCGGGCACGGUGGUGCGUGCCUGUAAUCCCAGCUACUCGGGAGACUGAGGUGGGAGGAUCGUUUGAGCCCAGGAGUUCUGGGCUGUAGUGCACUAUGCAGAUCAGGUGUCCGCACUAAGUUUGGCAUCAAUAUGGUGACCUCCUAGGAGUGGGGAACCACCAGGUUGCCUAAGGAGGAGUGAACCGGCCCAGGUCGGAAACAGAGCAGGUCAAAACUCGUGUGCUGAUCAGUACUAGGACUGCGCCUGUGAAAAGCCACUACACUCAAGCCUGGGAAACAUGGUGAGACCCCGCAUCU
rnacentral:SRP_RNA from 1 species